rnacentral:lncRNA from 1 species
AAAAGUUUGAAGGGGGCUAGAUUCACCUUUGUGGGCACAGGGACUUGCAAUCUGCCUCCCCUGGACCCACAGGAGCAGCUGCAGUGAAGGUAGGGUUUGCUUGUUACACAAUCACUUUUGGAGCUGCACCAAGCAACUACAGGGCCCCUGUGUAAUAAUCUGCAUGGAACUUGAAGAGAGGAACAUCGGUUGCAGGAGGGUAGAGUUUAAGGGCGUCACCAAGAAGCCAGUCUAUGUGCACCUGCCUGGAAUUCUAGCUGCAGUUGAAGCUUAAUAAAGAGCCAGUUUAGUUUAAGAAACAUGGAGCCCUCUCAUGUUGUCACCCAGCACAAGGUACAUGAAACACCCUAGAGGGGUAGGAAAAGGAGGGAUCUGAAGUCCCUGUAUUCUCUUUCCAGAUGCAGUUACUGCUUCUGCAGGCCUAGGUAGCCUUGGGCUGGCUGAUUCCCAGGAACAAACAGCCAUUAUUUGGUUUGGAUCAGGGACCCAAAGUUUGGGUGCUUAUACAUGCCCCAUCUAAAUCUCUUUAGCUAAGUGCCCCCAAAGGACCCUUAAAGGUUAAUGUGAAACUAUUGUAAGGAGUAGGGAAAGUGGUGCUGGGAAUUAAUUAUCAGCUUCAUAUCUAUUUACUGAAGAGAGUAGCAAGAUAAAUAUAAGGGCCUGGUUUAAUCACAGUUGUAAAUCCUUUUAAAUCAACGGCCAUGGGUUGCUAGAUUUUUUGCAACAGAAAACAGAGACAAAUUUAUUACCCAACAUUGUCAGGGGGAGUGGGAAGAAUGGGAAGAGAACAAUCAGAGGUUGGUAGUUUUAAAAUCCUGGGGGUAAAUUCAUCCCUAGUUUGACUCCUUUGAAGCCAGCAGCAGGAAGAUCAGAGGAAACAGUAAUAUAAAUUGUGGGUGGCAUAAGAUGCUGAAUGUGAAGAAUGGGAUAUUCUGGUUUACAGAAGAAAAACAGACUAUUACUUCUAUGCAGCUGAAAUAGUUCAUCCAUCCAUCCUUUCAAACUGUCUUUAUUAGCUAGCAGUGUUGGUCCCAGGAUGUAUUAGCUGGCAGGCAGAUAGCUAGUCUAUAUAAGCAUGAGAACCAUGAGUUUCUAUCCCUCUUAUGCUUGUCUUCCAGUUGUUACUUACACCCACUUGUAUCUUGAUCUAAGCUCACUGGGGUAAUGAAUCUCUAACUCUAUGUUUGUAUAACAACCAGCACAAUGGGGCCUUGAGCCUGAUUAGGACUUGUGGUUAUUGCUUCAUACAAAUAAACUAAUUAUGAAGGAAGCCUUUAAGUGAUGG